AAAGCAAUAACAAAUGGUUUUUCAAAAUCGUCCAAUAAAAAAAUUUUUUAAAUUAUUCUCAAUGGAAAGUAGAUGAUCGAUAACAAUUUUAAUACUUUUUUACCGACUAAGCAAACGAAACGUUCUUCCUCACCUCUCCACCCGCUUUGAAGCAGGAAUCGAUAGAAGAAUGCGACGUAGCGUGAAGAAAAAAAGGAACAAGCCACGCAUUCCUCGAGAUAUAAACUUACUCAUUGAACGAUGUGAAAUCCAACACCAAUGGAUUAAAAUUAUCUUCAUUCAAUGAUUGAAGACUAUAACUUCCCCAUAAAUUGAUACUUUUCUCAUCCAAUUUAAACUUGUCAAUCUUCAAUUCUACAAAUUUUGCCCAAAAUGUACAAUCUGUAGUAGAUCUGAGUUUUGUAAAUUUUACAAAUUCCGACAUUUUUAAUUUCUGAA